UCCGGUUUGUCACCGGCAGUCCCAUUAGAGUGCCCAACUGAAUGUGGCAACUAAUGGCAAGGGUUGCGCUCGUUGCGGGACUUAACCCAACAUCUCACGACACGAGCUGACGACAGCCAUGCAGCACCUGUGUCCAGGUUCCCUUUCGGGCACCCCCCCAUCUCUGGGGGGUUCCUGGCAUGUCAAGGGUAGGUAAGGUGGGGAUGACGUGAGCCUAUCGAGA
rnacentral:misc_RNA from 1 species